GGAUCUGUGGCGCAAUAGUAGCACGUCUGACUCCAGAUCAGAAGGUUGCGUGUUCGAUUCACGUUGGGUUCA
rnacentral:tRNA from 1 species